rnacentral:rRNA from 1 species
GACGAACGCUGGCGGCGUGCUUAACACGUGCAAGUCGAACGGAAAGGCCCUGCUUUUGUGGGGUGCUCGAGUGGCGAACGGGUGAGUAACACGUGAGUAACCUGCCCUUGACUUUGGGAUAACUUCAGGAAACUGGGGCUAAUACCGGAUAGGAGCUCCUGCUGCAUGGUGGGGGUUGGAAAGUUUCGGCGGUUGGGGAUGGACUCGCGGCUUAUCAGCUUGUUGGUGGGGUAGUGGCUCACCAAGGCUUUGACGGGUAGCCGGCCUGAGAGGGUGACCGGCCACAUUGGGACUGAGAUACGGCCCAGACUCCUACGGGAGGCAGCAGUGGGGAAUAUUGCACAAUGGGCGGAAGCCUGAUGCAGCAACGCCGCGUGCGGGAUGACGGCCUUCGGGUUGUAAACCGCUUUCGCCUGUGACGAAGCGUGAGUGACGGUAAUGGGUAAAGAAGCACCGGCUAACUACGUG